rnacentral:rRNA from 1 species
GAUGAACGCUGGCGGCGUGAUUAACACAUGCAAGUCGAACGGUGAAGCAGGAGCUUGCUCUUGUGGAUCAGUGGCGAACGGGUGAGUAACACGUGAGCAACCUGCCCCUGACUCUGGGAUAAGCGCUGGAAACGGCGUCUAAUACUGGAUAUGUGAUGUGACCGCCUGGUCUGCAUGUGGAAAGAAUUGCGGUUGGGGAUGGGGUCGCGGCCUAUCAGCUUGUUGGUGAGGUAAUGGCUCACCAAGGCGUCGACGGGUAGCCGGCCUGUGAGGGUGACGGGCCAGACUGGGAGUGGGACACGGCCCAGAUUCCUACGGGAGGCAGCAGUGGGGAAUAUUGGACAAUGGGCGGAAGGCUGGUGCAGCAACGCGGCGUGAGGAAUGACGGCCUUCGGGUUGUAAACCUCUUUUAGCAGGGAGUGAGGGAAAGUGACGGUACCUGCAGAAAAAGCACCGGCUAACUACGUGCCAGCCGCCGCUGUAA